GUCUCCCAAUGUCCCUUAGUGUCUGCCAUAAUGUCUCCCAAUGUCCCUUAGUGUCUCAGUGUCUGCCAUAAUGUAUCCCAAUGUCCCUUAGUGUCUCAGUGUCUGUCAUAAUGUCUCCCAAUGUCCCUUAGUGUCUCAGUGUCUGCCAUAAUGUCUCCCAGUGUCCCUUAGUGUCUCAGUGUCCCCAUGUCUCCUUGCAGCCUUUCCCCCAUCCCUCACUUCCCUGAGCUGUAGGCUGUCUCUGCAGGGUGGGAGUUGCUGUCUGGACUCUCUGUAGCUGCAUCCCUG
rnacentral:lncRNA from 1 species